rnacentral:rRNA from 1 species
ACUCAAAUGAAUUGACGGGGGCCCGCACAAGCGGUGGAGCAUGUGGUUCAAUUCGACGCAACGCGAAGAACCUUACCUGGGCUCGAACGGCUGUGGACUGGUGCAGAAAUGUGCCUUUCCUUCGGGACCGCAGUCGAGGUGCUGCAUGGCUGUCGUCAGCUCGUGUCGUGAGAUGUUGGGUUAAGUCCCGCAACGAGCGCAACCCUCGUCCACUGUUGCCAUGUCCUUCGGGACGGAACUCGGUGGAGACCGCCAGCGACAAGCUGGAGGAAGGUGGGGACGACGUCAAGUCAUCAUGGCCUUUAUGUCCAGGGCUACACACGUGCUACAAUGGACGGUACAACGGGUCGCUAAGCCGCAAGGUGGAGCUAAUCCCUAAAAACCGCCCUCAGUUCGGAUCGCAGGCUGCAACUCGCCUGCGUGAAGCUGGAAUCGCUAGUAAUGGCGCAUCAGAAUGGCGCCGUGAAUACGUUCCCGGGCCUUGCACACACCGCCCGU